rnacentral:antisense_RNA from 5 species
CUCAAUGGUGGCCAUGCGCAGGACACCUUCGGGUGUGCCGGGUCCUAGUUACCGGUCUACCAACCCGCGUAUGGCCGCCACCUUC